CCUACGGGAGGCAGCAGUAGGGAAUCUUCCACAAUGGACGAAAGUCUGAUGGAGCAACGCCGCGUGAGCGAUGAAGGCCUUCGGGUCGUAAAGCUCUGUUGUUAGGGAAGCGGUACCUAACCAGAAAGCCACGGCUAACUACGUGCCAGCAGCCGCGGUAAUACGUAGGUGGCAAGCGUUGUCCGGAAUUAUUGGGCGUAAAGCGCGCGCAGGCGGUCCUUUAAGUCUGAUGUGAAAGCCCACGGCUCAACCGUGGAGGGUCAUUGGAAACUGGGGGACUUGAGUACAGAAGAGGAAAGCGGAAUUCCACGUGUAGCGGUGAAAUGCGUAGAGAUGUGGAGGAACACCAGUGGCGAAGGCGGCUUUCUGGUCUGUACUGACGCUGAGGCGCGAAAGCGUGGGGAGCAAACAGGAUUAGAUACCCUUGUAGUC
rnacentral:rRNA from 1 species